rnacentral:tRNA from 1 species
CGUUCUAUGGCCGAACUGGUAAAGGCAUCGCCGAUCACAGGCGAGGGUGCGGGUUCGAGUCCCGCUGGAACGG